GGUAACCAUAUCAAAGUAAGGGCACAAUUACUUAAAUUCAGGCUUCUUUGUUUUCUGGAAAAUAUUUUCUGGGAGUCAGAGACAUCAUCCCCAAGAACAUGAAAUCCUUGUGGUUCUUCCUUUUUCUGGUGGCAGCUCCCAGAAGUGUCCUGUCCCAGGUGCAGCUGAAGGAGUCAGGACCUGGCCUGGUGAACCCCUCACAGACCCUGUCCCUCACCUGCUCUGUCUCUGGAUUAUCUUUAUCCAGCUAUGGUAUGAGCUGGAUCCGGCAAGCUCCAGGAAAGGGACUGGAGUAUAUUGGUUGGAUAACCAGUGGUGGAAGCACAUAUUAUAACCCAUCUCUUAAGUCCCGAGUCACCAUCACCAAGGACAACUCCAAGAAUGAAGUUUAUUUAAAGCUCAGCAGCCUGAGUCCUGAAGACACGGCCGUGUAUUACUGUGGGAUAGACACAGUGAGAGGAAGUCAGGCUGAGCCCAGACAAAAACCUCCCCUGAGGGCUCAGGAGGGGCUGGGCUGCAGGGGCACUUGGGACCACCAGGGGGAGCUCAGUGUCCAUCCCCAGGGUCAGGUGCAGAGAGGGGUUGAGAGGAGUUUCCUGGCCUUGUCUGGGGUUCCCUCUUCUUGUUCCACAACAUGUAACCCCAUAACAUGCAUUCAGUGCUGGGAUGAAUCUAAGAUUCAAACUCAGGAAAGGACUUUGUUACUAAAUUCAUGUUUAAAUACGUACAUACCUAAAUUAUUUACAAUGCUAUAUGAAUUGUAUGAAUAUGCCUGAAAGUGGGAAUAAAACUUGCAUUUAUCAUCUC